rnacentral:lncRNA from 1 species
GAGCUCUGAAUGUUCGAGCAUAUCUGUUCACACUGCUAGUCCAGUGUUAUCCUCAGUAAAGGAAAGAGAGACCUCUUCAGUGUGAUGAGAACCACGCAAAAAGCCCAGGUUAGAAUAAGUGAAACAAACAUGUGCUCUCAGUUUAUUAUAUUUACCAAGAUGCUUCAAAUACUUGUAUUGGUCAGGACCAAUUUUGAGAUAGAUAUGACAAAUUUUAGCACUAAAUUUUCUUAAACCUUCUAGCCCACCUCUUUCCUAGCCUGCUCCUCCCCCUGCCCGUAAUCUUUACUCUCUGCCUCAGUUUCUGGUGUAGAUAUGUAUGCCAUGCUUCUCACUGUCUAUGCAUGGUUCUAGUUAUAUUCUCUUACAGGUUUUGUAUGUGCCGCUUUAUAAUAUGGUGUUUCAGGCAGUGAAAGAUGGAAUCAGUACGUGAGAGUAGUUAACUCAUAAAGAAAAGAGGUUCUUUUAGCUCACUGUUCUGGAAGGCUAGGAGCACGGUGCAGGUCUGCUGGCUCCUGGCGAAAUCUGCAUGCUCCUACAUGAAUAGCAGAGAAGUUUCUACAUGUUUCCACAUGCAGAGGAGAUCAUAUAUGAGUAACGAAGCCAGAGAGCCAGUGAGAAAGUCUAACUCCCUUUGACUCACUAAUACAGUCCCUUGACAUAAUAAGUUUGUUACUGGGAGAAGGGUGUUAACCCCCUUUAUGUCCCCAUUAUCUCCUGAAGUUCCAAGACUCCCUAACACCGUUAGGUUGGUGAGCAAUACUCCAUAUACAUUCUUGUAGACUCCAGACUACUCAAAACAUGCAGAAGUCCAAAUUUUCUCAGACCUAACUUGCCUUAGGUAUACACAAAAUGGAUUUAACACAGGCUUUCUCCCUCUGGAGAAGAGCUUGUUUUGGGAAUGGCUCCAUUCUCCACCCUGGUAUUUUAGGGAGCCCUUCAGUUUCCCAUGUGUUCAUGUGUAAGACUGGAUAGGUAUCUCACCAGCUCUGUGCUGUGUCUGAGGAAUCUCUCCUUUUCUUCCACUGCCCACUGCCCCAUUACCAGGAGCAACUGAGUUCUCAGAACCUAUGGCAGACUCAUGUCAUCUGACUGGAAUUCACCUUCCCCAUAGUACUGUGCCGACAGGUUGAGAAAACUGUCUUAACAGUCUACCCGUGCACCUUAAGGGGCUCAUCUCAAUUAUAAAGUUACCAACUAUGAAGAGCACUUGGCAUAGGACAGGAGUUAAAUAAAUGCCUGUUGUAGCAGCCAGUCUUUCCUGUUUUAUGAAGCAAACUGUGAUGGCAUGACCUCAUGUGAAUGUGGUCUUCACAGGGAUUCAGAGGGACUGAAGACAUGGGUCAGUAGUAACAGAGCACUGGCAAGCAUGUGAGAGAUCCUAUGUUCAGAUUUUUAAAAAGCAGUAAGCAAAAUAAAAGGAUAGCAAUGGCCUCCUCAAUCCCGAAAGGGCUUCUGGUAUCCUCACUAAUUCUGUUGAAUUGAUUAGAUUGAUCAUCAAUUGGUUACUGGAAUUAAUGAACACCAAAACAACAAUAGUUGUUCUCAUGUAACAGUAGUUGUUAUAUGAAGUAAAUGCAGACAGAGAAAAUCUGGGGUUGUCAAGCAUCCGUGGGACAGGUACUCACUGGUCCUUCUAGCAUCCAUGGGGACAGGUACCCAACAGUUCUAUCUUGUUUCUCUGUGUCAUCACCAUGAGAUUUCCACAUCACUGCUUGCUCUGAAAGUCAAAGCUCUAAACAUCAUGUCAGCCAGAGUGGGGUAGAAAAGUAGAGAAUGGUAUUCAUGUGUUGUCUUUAAAGACAACUCCCAAAUUUACAGACCUUUAAAAAUUCGUUUUCUGGUCAUCUCAUAAUUUAUGUGAUGUUAAUCUUCUGAUGAGGUUGGGCACGGCAAUCUUCAGUGAUCCAUGUGCAAUUAUUGUUGAAUUUUGAUUUUCCAAAGUAGGGAAAGCACUUCUAAGGGGAUAAGCCAACUUUGCUAUAGAACUUGUGGAAAUGGGUUUCUGGAUAGCCUGGGCAUCAAUCCGCUCAGAUUCAGUGUGGGACUCUACUAUCUACAUGUUUAAUUUUGUUUCUUGAUAUAAUAGCUUGUGCUGUGGAUCAAAUCAACGUUGUUUACAAAGUCUUGAUGAAUGAUUACUUGGCCUUCUCUAGGCAAGCAUUAGUAUUCCUUGUUAUUCCACACACAGCUGAGAGUCCCAAUUAUCUAUUUUUUGCCCACCUCAUUGGACUUUUCUCAAAGUAAGCCUUUCAGUUUCUCUAUUGGGAUGGUAUAGUCUAUACUGUGACUCUUGUCUUAAUUUUGCCAGGUCAUGUGAUUUGACUACAAGUAUUCUCCUAAAUUCUGCCAACAGAAGAUAGGAGCUUUUGUUUAUUACUAACAGAGCUCUCUCUGCUGAAGCUAAGUCAACAGAACUCAUGGAGGUUGGUUAUGGUCCUUGUUAGGACACUUGAGAAUUUAAUUUCUGUCUUUCUGGAGUCCUAGCAUGGGUAGGUGUGGCUGCUUUGAAUUAGUGUGUACAAGUAAUAGAUUUUUGGUAUGUAAAUUAUACAUAAUUUAUGUGGUUUAUUACUAUGUUUACUAUUUUCUUAUUUAUUUAUUUAUUUAUUUAUUUAUUAUAUGUAAAUACACUGAAGCUGUCUUCAGACACUCCAGAAGUGAGCAUCAGAUUUUGUUAUGGAUGGUUGUGAGCCACCAUGUGGUUGCUGGGAUUUGAACUCUGGACCUUCAGAAGAGCAGUCAGUGCUCUUACUCACUGAGCCACCUCACCAGCCUGUUUUCUAUUUUCUUAAACAAAAGGGAAACAAAUACUCAGCUGAUUAGUGAGAGCGCAUGUUUAGAGCUACCUAAUUUUCAUAUAAGCUCACUUCCAGAAGGGCUAUAGAGAUGAAAUGCUUUCUGUGCUCUGCAGAGGGAAUUAACUCUGUUGGAGGGAACAUUUGUUUGUUUAUUUAUUUAUUUGAAACAGGGUCUCAAAUGUAGUCUGUGUUGACGUUGAGCCUGAGACACACACACCCUACCCCCACCUGCUGCUGGUUCUUAAGUGCUGGGAUCACAGUACCACACCCAACUCGGACUGAUAUUAAUUUUAUAUAUC